GAUGAACGCUAGCUACAGGCUUAACACAUGCAAGUCGAGGGGUAACGAGAGGAAAGCUUGCUUUCCUUGUCGACGACCGGCGCACGGGUGAGUAACGCGUAUCCAACCUGCCCCCAACUAGGGAAUAACCUUGCGAAAGUAAGACUAAUACCCUAUAAUUUCCUCAGAUGUCAUCUGACGAGGAAUAAAGAUUUAUCGGUUGUGGAUGGGGAUGCGUCUGAUUAGCUUGUUGGCGGGGUAACGGCCCACCAAGGCAACGAUCAGUAGGGGUUCUGAGAGGAAGGUCCACCACAUUGGAACUGAGACACGGUCCAAAAUACUACGGGAGGCAGCAGUGAGGAAUAUUGGUCAAUGGGCGGAAGCCUGAACCAGCCAAGUAGCGUGCAGGAUGACGGCCCUAUGGGUUGUAAACUGCUUUUAUACAGGAAUAAAGUUAGCCACGUGUGGUUAUUUGUAGGUACUGUAUGAAUAAGGACCGGCUAAUUCCGUGCCAGCCGCCGCAGUAA
rnacentral:rRNA from 1 species